GGGCCCGCACAAGCGGUGGAGUAUGUGGUUUAAUUCGAUGCAACGCGAAGAACCUUACCAGGUUUGACAUCCUGGAAUUUCUGGGAAACCGGAAAGUGCCUUCGGGAACGCAGUGACAGGUGGUGCAUGGCUGUCGUCAGCUCGUGUCGUGAGAUGUUGGUUAAGUCCCGCAACGAGCGCAACCCACGUCGUUAGUUGCCAGCAUUUAGUUGGGCACUCUAGCGAGACCGCCGGUGAUAAACCGGAGGAAGGUGUGGAUGACGUCAAGUCAUCAUGCCCCUUACAUCCUGGGCUACACACGUACUACAAUGCUACGGACAAAGGGCAGCAAACUCGCGAGAGCUAG
rnacentral:rRNA from 1 species